rnacentral:rRNA from 1 species
CCUACGGGUGGCAGCAGUGAGGAAUAUUGGUCAAUGGCCGGAAGGCUGAACCAGCCAUGCCGCGUGAAGGUCAGUGCCCUAUGGGCGUUAAACUUCUUUUGUUCGGGAGCAAUAAUGGUCUCGUGUGGCCCGCCGAUAGUACCCUAUGAAUAAGGAUCGGCUAACUCCGUGCCAGCAGCCGCGGUAAUACGGAGGAUCCGAGCGUUAUCCGGAUUUAUUGGGUUUAAAGGGAGCGUAGGUGGAUUGUUAAGUCAGUUGUGAAAGUUUGCGGCUCAACCGUAAAAUUGCAGUUGAAACUGGCAGUCUGGAGUACAGUAGAGGUGGGCGGAAUUCGUGGUGUAGCGGUGAAAUGCUUAGAUAUCACGAAGAACUCCGAUUGCGAAGGCAGCUCACUGGACUGCAACUGACACUGAGGCUCGAAAGUGUGGGUAUCAAACAGGAUUAGAUACCCGUGUAGUC